rnacentral:rRNA from 1 species
CUUCGGCCCGAGUUGUAAUUUGCAGAGGAUGUUUAUGGUGCGGUACCUACCGAGUUCCCUGGAACGGGACGCCACAGAGGGUGAGAGCCCCGUCUGGUAGGAUACCAAACCUGUGUUAAACUCCUUCAACGAGUCGAGUAGUUUGGGAAUGCUGCUCUAAAUGGGAGGUAAAUCUCUUCUAAAGCUAAAUAUUGGCCAGAGACCGAUAGCGCACAAGUAGAGUGAUCGAAAGAUGAAAAGCACCUUGAAAAGGGGGUUAAACAGUACGUGAAAUUGUUGAAAGGGAAGCGUUUAUGACCAGACUUGUGCCGUGUGGCUCAUCCGAGGUUCUCCCCGGUGCACUCCACACGGCUCAGGCCAACAUCGGUUCUCGUUGGGGGAUAAGAACAGUAGGAACGUGGCCCUCUUCGGGGGGUGUUAUAGCCUAUUGUACGAUACUCUGACGGGGACCGAGGACCGCGCUUCGGCUAGGAUGUUGGCGUAAUGGUCAUUAGCGACCCGUCUUGAAACACGGACCAAGGAGUCGUCCAUUAGAGCGAGCGUUUGGGUGUAAAACCCGCACGCGUAAUGAAAGUAAAAUAGGUGAGAGCUUCGGCGCAUCAUCGACCGAUCCUGAAGUUUACGGAUGGAUUUGAGUAAGAGUUUUAACGGACGGACCCGAAAGACAGUGAACUAUGCUUGAAUAGGGUGAAGCCAGAGGAAACUCUGGUGGAGGCUCGCAGCGGUUCUGACGUGCAAAUCGAUCGUCAAAUUUGAGCAUGGGGGCGAAAGACUAAUCGAAC